rnacentral:rRNA from 1 species
GAGUUUGAUCCUGGCUCACAAUGAACGCUGGCGGCGUGCCUAACACAUGCAAGUCGAACGGAGAUAUCGCAGCGAGAGGAUUCGUCUGAUCAAGUGAUAUCUUAGUGGCGGACGGGUGAGUAACGCGUGGAGAACCUGCCUCUUUCCGGGGGAUAGCAGUUGGAAACGACUGGUAAUACCGCAUGAGCGCACGGUACCGCAUGGUAUAGUGUGAAAAGAUUUAUCGGGGAGAGAUGGCUCCGCGUCUGAUUAGCCAGUUGGCGGGGUAACGGCCCACCAAAGCGACGAUCAGUAGCCGGCCUGAGAGGGCGGACGGCCACAUUGGGACUGAGACACGGUCCAGACUCCUACGGGAGGCAGCAGUGGGGGAUAUUGCACAAUGGGGGGAACCCUGUUGCAGCGACGCCGCGUGAGUGAAGAAGUGUUUCGACAUGUAAAGCUCUAUCAGCAGGGAAGAAAGGCCCUUUAAGGGAGAUGACGGUACCUGACUAAGAAGCCCCGGCUAACUACGUGCCAGCAGCCGCGGUAAUACGUAGGGGGCAAGCGUUAUCCGGAUUUACUGGGUGUAAAGGGAGCGCAGACGGCAAUGCAAGUCUGAUGUGAAAACCCGGGGCUUAACCCCGGGCCUGCAUUGGAAACUGUAUAGCUGGAGUAUCGGAGAGGUGAGCGGAAUUCCUGGUGUAGCGGUGAAAUGCGCAGAUAUCAGGAAGAACACCGGCGGCGAAGGCGGCUCACUGGACGACAACUGACGUUGAGGCUCGAAAGCGUGGGUAGCAAACAGGAUUAGAUACCCUGGUAGUCCACGCCCUAAACGAUGAAUACUAGGUGUAGGGAGGCAUAGCCUUUCUGUGCCGCAGCAAACGCAAUAAGUAUUCCACCUGGGGAGUACGUUCGCAAGAAUGAAACUCAAAGGAAUUGACGGGGACCCGCACAAGCGGUGGAGCAUGUGGUUUAAUUCGAAGCAACGCGAAGAACCUUACCAGGCCUUGACAUCCCAAGGGAUAACGGGUAAUGCCGUUAGCUCUUCGGAGCCUUGGAGACAGGUGGUGCAUGGUUGUCGUCAGCUCGUGUCGUGAGAUGGGGGGGCGGGGAAAAAAAAAGAGCGCAACCCUUGCCUGUAGUAGCCAGCAUUGAGAUGGGAACUCUACAGGGACUGCCGGGGACAACCCGGAGGAAGGUGGGGAUGACGUCAAAUCAUCAUGCCCCUUACGGCCUGGGCUACACACGUGCUACAAUGGCGUAACAAAGGGAAGCGAGACUGUGAAGUUGAGCAAACCUCAAAAAUAACGUCCCAGUUCGGACUGCAGGCUGCAACCCGCCUGCACGAAGCCGGAAUCGCUAGUAAUCGCAGAUCAGAAUGCUGCGGUGAAUACGUUCCCGGGUCUUGUACACACCGCCCGUCACACCAUGGGAGUUGGUAAUGCCCGAAGUCAGUGGCCUAACGGAAAGGGGGGAGCUGCCGAAGGCAGGACUGAUGACUGGGAUAAGUCGUAACAAGGUAACCA